AUUUAGAUAGUUUAAUUUAGAAUGGAAGUUUGUGGUGCUUUAGGUGUUAUUUAUAACUCUAAAUU
rnacentral:tRNA from 1 species